rnacentral:rRNA from 1 species
GAUGAACGCUGGCGGCGUGCUUAACACAUGCAAGUCGAACGGGAAACCUUUUAAUGAAGCUUCGGCAGAUUUAGCUGGUUUCUAGUGGCGGACGGGUGAGUAACGCGUGGGUAACCUGCCUUAUACAGGGGGAUAACAGUCAGAAAUGACUGCUAAUACCGCAUAAGCGCACAGGACCGCAUGGUCCGGUGUGAAAAACUCCGGUGGUAUAAGAUGGACCCGCGUUGGAUUAGCUUGUUGGGGGGGUAACGGCUCACCAAGGCGACGAUCCAUAGCCGGCCUGAGAGGGUGAACGGCCACAUUGGGACUGAGACACGGCCCAGACUCCUACGGGAGGCAGCAGUGGGGAAUAUUGCACAAUGGGGGAAACCCUGAUGCAGCGACGCCGCGUGAAGGAAGAAGUAUCUCGGUAUGUAAACUUCUAUAAGCAGGGAAGAUAGUGACGGUACCUGACUAAGAAGCCCCGGCUAACUACGUG